AGCAGCGUGGCUCAGUGGAAAGAGCCUGGGCUUGGGAUUCAGAGGUCUUGGAUUCUACUUCCGGCUCUGCCA
rnacentral:tRNA from 1 species